rnacentral:lncRNA from 1 species
GAGAGACUGAACUGAACUGAUCAGGUAGGAAGGCUGGAAUAAAGCCAGCGCUCAGAUUUAGAAAGCAGAAUAGUCACGCUCUUCGUGACAGGUUUCCUAGGAAGGUCAUUCCCGUUCUAUUUAUAUUUUUCAGAUCGAGAUCAUAAUGAUUAAUCUCUGCGUAGGCUGUUUGAAGUAAUGUAACUGUAGGAGAAUUCCACUUGGAUAUUUAAGGUUGCACUGGAUUUAUGGUGAUUACAAAAGGCUGGCUCAGGACAUGGAAGCAACCUAGAUGUCCAUCGGCAGAUGAAUGGAUGAGAAAGCUGUGGUGCACGGGAGGAGCCAGUACGUGGAACUGUCCAAGGUUAGAAACCCAAGGAUCAGAAACACUUCGGGGACUCAGUGGAAGGAAUCUUUCCAAAGACCCAUCCAUCUCACUCUCAAGCCUUGAAGGUCAUCACUCAAUUUGGUGGAAUGUGAAGAGCAUUUUAAUUUUUAACUGAAGACAUUCUCGGGUGUGUUAAGGGCUAAACUAGAUCACAACCCCAGACCUAUACGGUGUCGGACACAGUAUCCACAUCAUUGAUCCAAGGUUUCCAUGUCCUCGGAGCUUG